CUGGCUCAGAUUGCACGCUGGCGGCAGGCCUAACACAUGCAAGUCGAGCGGUAACAGGAAUUAGCUUGCUAAUUCGCUGACGAGCGGCGGACGGGUGAGUAAUGCCUGGGAAUAUGCCUUAGUGUGGGGGAUAACUAUUGGAAACGAUAGCUAAUACCGCAUAAUGUCUUCGGACCAAAGAGGGGGAUCUUCGGACCUCUCGCGCUAAGAUUAGCCCAGGUGAGAUUAGCUUGUUGGUGAGGUAAGAGCUCACCAAGGCGACGAUCUCUAGCUGGUCUGAGAGGAUGAUCAGCCACACUGGAACUGAGACACGGUCCAGACUCCUACGGGAGGCAGCAGUGGGGAAUAUUGCACAAUGGGCGAAAGCCUGAUGCAGCCAUGCCGCGUGUAUGAAGAAGGCCUUCGGGUUGUAAAGUACUUUCAGUCGUGAGGAAGGGUAUGUAGUUAAUAGCUGCACAUCUUGACGUUAGCGACAGAAGAAGCACCGGCUAACUCCGUGCCAGCAGCCGCGGUAAUAC
rnacentral:rRNA from 1 species